AGUUGUGUGAGGAGCAAGUUGAAACUAAAAAGCAUCUGGGGUGGAAACACGGCAACACUCCCAGAUGCUUUUUAAU
rnacentral:sRNA from 14 species